rnacentral:rRNA from 1 species
CCUACGGGUGGCAGCAGUGAGGAAUAUUGGUCAAUGGGCGAGAGCCUGAACCAGCCAAGUCGCGUGAGGGAGUACUGCCCUAUGGGUUGUAAACCUCUUUUGUCGGGGAGCAAAAGCCGGACGUGUCCGGCUGUGCGAGUACCCGAUGAAACAGCAUAGGCUAACUCCGUGCCAGCAGCCGCGGUAAUACGGAGGAUGCGAGCGUUAUCCGGAUUUAUUGGGUUUAAAGGGUGCGCAGGCGGAUUUUUAAGUCAGCGGUCAAAUCGUAGGGCUCAACCCCAUCCAGCCGUUGAAACUGGGGAUCUUGAGUGUGCGAGAGGUAUGCGGAAUUCGUGGUGUAGCGGUGAAAUGCAUAGAUAUUACGCAGAACCCCGAUUGCGAAGGCAGCAUACCGGUGCACAACUGACGCUCAGGCACGAAAGCGUGGGUAGCGAACAGGAUUAGAUACCCCUGUAGUC